rnacentral:rRNA from 1 species
UGAUCCGCUCUGAUGCGCGAUUGGCGUGGCCUAAGGGAACCGUUGAGCUCGCCGCCUGGGGAGUCGGUCGCUGACUGAAACUUAAGGACUUGGCGGCGGACCACCACAACGGGUGAAGCCUGCGUUUCACUUGGAGUCAACACCCUGAAACUUACCUGGACCGACAGCAAGUUGAGGGUCAAGCUGAAAACUUUACCUGACGACCUGAGAAGAGAAUAAAUAAAUGAAAAGAAAA